rnacentral:antisense_RNA from 1 species
CUUCACCGAGCCGAGCAGCAGCGGCUCGCCCUCACGCCGGUCCUGACCGUACGUGGCGAGCAACGCCUGCGCCUC